rnacentral:rRNA from 1 species
AUGGCCAUGGGCAACAAUGGCGUCAAGGUCACCUACAUCGAGACGCAGUUCGUCACCUCCGACGCCGCGAGCUUCAAGUCCCUCGUACAGCGCCUCACGGGCAAGUCCGGCGCCGAAGCCGCGGCCGCGCCCCUGCCGCGCUGCCGCAGCCGAGAAGACGAGCGCUGUUACUGGAGCGCCGAGCUAUUUCACGUCCACCACCGCGGGCUCGGUCAGUGCAGCUGCGGACCACGUGCCGGCAGCGGCGUUCGCUGCCAACCCCGGCGAUUACUCGGAGCUGGAGGGACUUUGGGAUUACUCGGAGCUGUUCUGCGCAGCCGAACGGUGCCAUGGCGACAGUUACAGUGA